UAGCCUCUGACCAAAUUGGGAUUACAAACUCCUGGCAGUACAUUGCUGCUUGUACCUGACCUUAUACCUAAAAGCUUUGGUUUUGUUUCUCCUUCACAGUAAUCCUCUAUUCAGCAGGAUUCCAACGUUACUCAGCGUUUCAGCUCACACUGCCUUCAGAAUCAUGUGGGAUCUCCAACAUACAAUGACCCAUGCCGUGAUUGAUUCCGGAGCCACCGGAAAUUUUGUAGAUUUUGAUUUUGUGCACUCUUAUCGGAUUCCUUUUAAUAAAGAAAAAGAAACCACUGGCUA